rnacentral:rRNA from 1 species
UGGGGAAUAUUGGGCAAUGGGGGCAACCCUGACCCAGCGACGCCGCGUGGGGGAAGACGGCCUUCGGGUUGUAAACCUCUUUUGUACGGGAAGAAGGAAGUGACGGUACCGUACGAAUAAGUCCCGGCUAACUACGUGCCAGCAGCCGCGGUAAUACGUAGGGGACGAGCGUUGUCCGGAAUUACUGGGCGUAAAGGGCGCGCAGGCUGUGCUGCAAGUCAGCUGUUGAAUGUCUGGGCUUAACCCGGGCAUGCGGUUGAGAC